rnacentral:lncRNA from 1 species
AUAAUCAUAGAUUUCUAAAUUAGUAUAAUAAAAUGGCAGGGCUCUAAAGUAUAUUACAUAUAGAUAAUAGACAAUAUAAGUUUAAGUGCAACAUAAUAUUGAAAAUUAUUACAAACUAAUUAUUUAGCUUAUACGCUAUAAUUUGAUCGCGAAUUGAGUUUCGAGCAUGAUCCAUCUGUGAAGAAGAAGCUACAUUGAAACUUUGGGAUUGAUCCAAGUUAGUUGAUCUAUGAUAAUCAUCAUGGUGAAUGAUUGUAUUUUCAUCUUCAUAAAGAUUGAAAUCAACAUCCAUUUCAACACUCCUUCUAAUAAAGUUGUGUAUUGUCAUUGUUGCGACAACUAUAUGAACUUGUGUCUCAUAUUUGAACUUAGGCAUGCAACGAAAAAUUAAAAAUCUAUUCUUCCAUACCCCAAAAGUUCUUUCAAUUGUGCAUCUUAAACUUGAGUGGUAGUAAUUGAAUACUUCGUUAUUAUUUUCGAACCCACUUGAA